rnacentral:rRNA from 1 species
UACGUAGGGCGCAAGCGUUAUCCGGAUUCACUGGGUUUAAAGGGAGCGUAGGAGGGCAGGUAAGUCAGUGGUGAAAUCUUCGAGCUUAACUCGGAAACUGCCGUUGAUACUAUCUGUCUUGAAUACCGUGGAGAUGAGCGGAAUAUGUCAUGUAGCGGUGAAAUGCUUAGAUAUGACAUAGAACACCAAUUGCGAAGGCAGCUGACUACGCGAGUAUUGACACUGAGGCACGAAAGCGU